rnacentral:rRNA from 1 species
AAUCAACGCUGGCGGCGUGCCUCAGACAUGCAAGUCGAACGCGAAAUUUCCCUUCGGGGAGAAAGUAGAGUGGCGCACGGGUGAGUAACACGUAGGUAAUUUGCCUUUGGGUGGGGAAUAACUCAGGGAAACUUGAGCUAAUACCGCAUAAUGCAGCGGCUCGACAUCGAGACAGUUGUUAAAGCGGGGGAUUGGAGCAAUCCGACCUCGCGCCUAAAGAGAAGCCUGCGGCAGAUUAGCUAGUUGGUAAGGUAAUGGCUUACCAAGGCGACGAUCUGUAACCGGCCUGAGAGGGCGGUCGGUCACACUGACACUGACAUACGGGUCAGACUCCUACGGGAGGCAGCAGUCGGGAAUUUUGGGCAAUGGGCGCAAGCCUGACCCAGCAACGCCGCGUGAAGGAUGAAAUUUUUCGGAAUGUAAACUUCGCAAGAACAGGAAGAAUAAGUGUGGGACAAUACCCACAUGAUGACGGUACUGUUUGUAAGCUCCGGCUAACUCCGU